rnacentral:rRNA from 1 species
ACGGAAGGCAGCAGUGGGGAAUAUUGGGCAAUGGGCGAAAGCCUGACCCAGCAACGCCGCGUGAAGGAAGAAGAUCUUCGGAUUGUAAACUUCUUUUAUGAGGGACGAAGGACGUGACGGUACCUCAUGAAUAAGCCACGGCUAACUACGUGCCAGCAGCCGCGGUAAUACGUAGGUGGCGAGCGUUAUCCGGAUUUACUGGGUGUAAAGGGCGCGUAGGCGGGGUGACAAGUCAGAUGUGAAAUCUAUGGGCUCAACUCAUAAACUGCAUUUGAAACUGCCACUCUUGAGUGCUGGAGAGGUAGACGGAAUUCCUUGUGUAGCGGUGAAAUGCGUAGAUAUAAGGAAGAACACCAGUGGCGAAGGCGGUCUACUGGACAGUAACUGACGCUGAGGCGCGAAAGCGUGGGGAGCAAACAGGAUUAGAUACCCUGGUA